ACUCAAAUGAAUAGACGGGGGCCCGCACAAGCAGCGGAGCGUGUGGUUUAAUUCGACGCAACGCGCAGAACCUUACCAAGGCUUGACAUACACCGGUAAGCCGCAGAAAUGCGGCCCCCCUUCGGGGCCGGUGCACAGAUGCUGCAUGGCUGUCGUCAGCUCGUGCCGUGAGGUGUUGGGUUAAGUCCCGCAACGAGCGCAACCCUCGUCGCUAGUUGAAUUUCUCUAGCGAGACCGCUGCGCGAAACGCAGAGGAAGGUGGGGAUGACGUCAAGUCAGCACGGCUCUUACGUCUUGGGCUACACACACGCUACAAUGGCCGGUACAACGGGUCGCCAAGCCGCGAGGCGGAGCUAAUCCCAUCAAAACCGGCCUCAGUUCAGAUUGCAGGCUGAAACCCGCCUGCAUGAAGGCGGAGUUGCUAGUAACCGCAGGUCAGCACACUGCGGUGAAUACGUUCCCGGGCCUUGCACACACCGCCCGU
rnacentral:rRNA from 1 species